GGGCGACAGACGCUCCGAGAUGCCGAAGGGCCAGCAGCGGCCCCGAAGCUCCGGGCUGGCCGCGCUGUCGCUCUGCCGCGCCCCGGUCUCGAAGUGAAGGUGCCUCUUCCUGGCUAGCCCACCUACAUGCUGUCAUCACUGGGCUUCUGCAACUCUCAGUCUUUGUGGCUGCACCCUUCCCUUCUGAAUCCUGAGGACCCAUGAGUGUCAGGCCCAUCAUGAAAUUGGUCGUCUUACUGGGUCUUUCCCCUGCAGCUUUCCCGAGGCUGUACAGCAUUUAUUGGUGCUCAUCUGUUUGAGUAGAGCUGGCAUAGAGGACUGCCACCGGCUGGGAGGGGCCAUGGUACCAGAGGUCUUGGGUGCCUGAAGAUACUCCCCCUAGCCCUGAUGCCUUGGAAGAGAAGCCCUUCAAGACAAGCUGAUGCCAGGCCCUGGCCAGAGGUGGGGACAGAUGGCAUUUCCUGCUCAGUGUGUGGGCCUGGGCCCCAUUGCUUGGGGGAGUUCCAUGAGUGUUAACAGGAUUCAAAGGAAGAGCUUCAUGUGGGAGGAAGGGUGACCAGCCAGUUUCACGCUCCAGCUGCCUGCUACCAUGCCUCCCCACGUCAUGGACUCUCCUUCUGUAACCAUAAGCCAAAAUAAACACUUUUCCCCCUCUGUAA
rnacentral:lncRNA from 1 species